GGCACUAUGGACUAGGGAUUACUUGCUGGCUACCAACAACUGAAAAUAUGAGACAUGGAUUGACAUGGAAACAAGGUAUUACAAAUUCCGUACUCCCAUAUAGUAUAGAAAAAGAUUAGUCGGCCUUUCCUUCUCGAUCUUAUUUUCUUUAUGGUUCAUGUGCAGAGAAAGAAGAAACAAAAAUAAGCAUUAUAGACUAGAUGAUGAGAAAAGUGGUUUCUCUCAGUGCAAUAUGCUUAGUUGAUGGAGCAUGCUCCUGGGACAUACCAGGCUAAAGUGAUGUUCCAGAGUACACAUGGAAAGUGACUUGAUGGAAGUCAACGACAUG
rnacentral:lncRNA from 1 species